UUGGCCCUGAAUCAAGGCUGGUGGUUUGUUGUAACCACUGGUUUCAAACAGGAGCCCAGAUAAACGCCUUCCUGUGGUCUGUUGGCUGUUUCAUAGUUUCAGGAUGGAACAGUCAAUUCAGUUGGAAGCAACAACC